UUUUUUUUUUCUCAAACCUUUCUCCAUCACUUACGAAAUUACGAGCUCCCUUUCGCUCCUUCUACUAAUUCCAUUUUUCAACGUUUUCUUCUAAUAACGAAGUUGCUUCCACCAACAUCUUUUUUUUUUUUUUGCUACCUCUUCCGCAUAAUCUCGCCUUUUUAUUCUCUUCCUCUUUGAUUGUUACAGAAAGCGAAAUCAAAAGCUUUCUUUUUUAAGAUUCUGUUUUUUUUUUUAACUUCGACUUUGGAUCAAGCUCGUUUCAAGUUCGAAAACGCCGGUAAGCAUCCGAUUACGUGCCUGUGAGACGUUAGGCAGUGCUUGGGCAUGGAGAUUUCGUCAUAGGGAGCAAGCAGAGCAAAUCGGAGGUCGCAAUUUUUUUUUUGAAUUUUGAUUGUUUAAAACUGAUGUUUUAUGGUAGAUCUAUGUAUUUGAGAGAUAACUAAUAUGUAAUCACAUAACAAUCUGAUAAUUUACAGGAAAAUCGUUGAUGGCCGCCAUGAAAAUA